rnacentral:rRNA from 1 species
AUUGAACGCUGGCGGCAGGCCUAACACAUGCAAGUCGAACGAGUGGCGGACGGAUCAGUAAUGUCUGGGAAACUGCCUGAUGGAGGGGGAUAACUACUGGAAACGGUCGCUAAUACCGCAUACCCAAGGCUGUGCCGAGAUGGGAUUAGCUAGUAGGUGGGGGAAAGGCUCACCUAGGCGACGAUCCCUAGCGGGUCUGAGAGGAUGACCAGCUACACUGCAACUGAGACACGGCCCAGACUCCUACGGGAGGCAGCAGUGGGGAAUAUUGCACAAGGGGCGCAAGCCUGAUGCAGCCAUGCCGCGUGUAUGAAGAAGGCCGUCGGGUUGUAAAGUACUGUCAGCGGGGAGGCGUUACCCGAAGAAGAAGCACCGGCUAACUCCGUGCCAGCAGCCGCGGUAAUUC